rnacentral:tRNA from 1 species
UCCCCAGUGGCUCAGUGGUAAAGGAUCUGCCUGUAAUGCAGGAGACCUGGGUUUAAUCCCUGGGUUGGGAA